AAAGAUUAAGCCAUGCAUGUCUAAGUAUAAACAACUUUGUACUGUGAAACUGCGAAUGGCUCAUUAAAUCAGUUAUAGUUUAUUUGAUUAUACCUUACUACUUGGAUAACCGUGGUAAUUCUAGAGCUAAUACAUGCUGAAAAUCCCGACUUCGGAAGGGAUGUGUUUAUUAGAUAAAAAACCAAUGCCCUUCGGGGCUCUUUGGUGAUUCAUGAUAACUUUACGGAUCGCAUAGCCUUGCGCUGGCGACGGUUCAUUCAAAUUUCUGCCCUAUCAACUUUCGAUGGUAAGGUAUUGGCUUACCAUGGUUU
rnacentral:rRNA from 1 species